UAAACCGUCGCUAAAAUUGGCACUGGAAGAGCAUUGGCAGUCUGCUGUGGUCGCCUUCCCUGCAAAGCACGUUUGUGAUGCUCAUCUCGCAGUGAUGCGCAGUGUCUGCUGCCGCCUGUUAAAAAAAUGGUGUGAGCAGCGGCUGGCAGGCAGGCUGGUCAGCAGUGAUUCAUUCCCUGGCAGCCACGACGAGCAGCACGGGCUAAAUUCUGCCUGCACAAAGGUACCAAGGGAAAAUGGCUAGCAGUGAGUUCUGUAGCUUUUCCUGCUCUGCAGGCCCUCUGGCUUAGCCAGCUGGAUCACACUGAAUUAGUCAAGUACUUCAUUAUCUCCCUUCUCUGCACAUUUUGCUCCAGAGUUACAGAGACUACCAAAAUCCCCCACACCUGAAAAGGUACCAGGAGAUGACUGUGAAGUGUGUAUGUCACUUUGACAAGUCCCUUUGAACCCAGGGGUCCCCAGACCACCUCUGCCCAGGCAGGACAGCCACCCGCUCCCAUCGCCCGCAGGUGAGGCCCGGCUGCCUCCCCCCGCACUCACGAGGAUUAACGAACAGCAAGAAAGCAAAUUGCUACAGUUAAAGGAAGAAAACAGCAGGACUAACACGUUUCAGUCGGGGUACUAUGCUGAGACUCAGCAAUCUUUAUACUCUUUGUGAGCAGCAGUUCUUUAAGAGCUUUAC